rnacentral:tRNA from 1 species
GCGAGAGUGGUGAAACUGGUAGACACGCCAGAUUUAGGAUCUGGUGCGAAACGCAUAAGGGUUCGAGUCCCUUCUCUCGCA